AACUAAGGCAGCACUGGUGUGGCUACUGACUGGGUUUAUUACAAUGGCUCCCCAACCUGACCUACUCUGUCCUCCAGGGAAGACUCACCCAUCAGCGGACCCUCAGCCCGCUGAUGGCCGUGCCCCACCCUGGCCAGCACAGUUGCUGUCCGGCCCUUCACCCCUCCCUUUGUCCCUCAGAGAGGGCUGGGUCUCACAAAACAUCCUUGUCACAGCGUUCACCGUACUCAGGGGUCGCCGCCCCGCGCCUGUGUCCUAGGGUCGGAAGAUGCUGGUGGCAUCGCAUCCUCUCGCCUUGGAUGCUACCUUCACCUGUUCCCGGUGCUCACGCGGCCAUCAGAACCAUCUGAGCGGCGGCUGCUCCUCCGCAGUGGACACUGGGGGCGCUGUUGCCCUCGCCCUUCUUGCAUCGCGAAAGAGUGGCUCUACCAGCGGUAGAAGAGUGCUAGUGAGUGUAUCCUUCCGAACUCUGCAUCGCCCCAAGGCUAGAGAGCCCAGGAACCGCGCAAGGUCCUCCUUUUUCCCUACAGCACACAAGGCCGCUCCCCCUUUGAGGACCCGCUCUCCCCCGACACCUCCCUGGUGGAGGGAGCAGCUCUGGGUUGGGGGUGCAGAGGACCCCUCAGUUGCUGCGUGGCAGACAGAUUCCAGCUCCAGGGUCCCCAGCUGGGCUCCAUUACUGCCAUCCCCAAACGGUGCUGCAUAACUUCUGAAAAGUAAGAGAACAGUGUAAUCGCCAGCAUCUUUUUUUGUUUUCUUUUUUAUUUUUUUGGUACCGGGAAUUGAACUCAUGACCUCAGGCUUUCCAGGCAAGCGCUUAAGCCUCUGAGUUAUACCACCGGCCCUUGCCAGCAUCUUUGAAAACUGGAGAUGGGACAGACCAGUUAAAACCAACCCCAAUGAUGCCAUCCCGCUUGCGUUCUCUGAAGCAGCUCUGGAAGUCCUCCUCCGGGAGUGGCUUACAAGGCGUGACCACAGUAUGGUGCAGGCUGCUGCCCAGGGCCAUCCGACAGAAGGCAGCUCGUGAACACGUGACAGCGGGCGCCUGUCCGCCUUGUUCACCAGAGCCGGCAUCCUGCGACUUCGGGCUCUUCCUCAAAGUCAGAAUGACCAAGAAAGGAAUCUGACCCACCUUUCAAGAGCUGCCCAGCUGCUAAAAUCUGGCCGCCAAAGUUUAGCUAAGCCUGAGGUUGGCUCUUUGACAUCAGGCCAGCAAUACUAUCAUGACCUCCAACCCGGUGGCUUUCAAAAGGUGAGGGGUAGGAGGGUGGAGUGGUGAUUCUCAGCGUCUUCUUAGCCUCGGACAAAAGUGUGGGUUCUCUCCACAGGGGGCUGGGCAGGUGCCCUCGUGAUGGGGUCUCCUGACUGCAGAAGGCACAGAAGGGGUACCCGUGAAGAAGGGCAGGGUGAAGAGGAGGUGGCUGGGCAAGAGGUAUAUUUUGAGGAGCACUGAAUAGGAGCUCAGAGUAGGGGCACAGCCAGCCCAGCACAUGCAGAAAGCUACCAAGUGCUGUGCACAGACAGGAUCAGAGACUGCUUGAAAACGACGCUUAGGCGCUAUUGUUCAGGCAAUGCUGAAAGUUCCCUGAUGGCAGAGCAGCAGGGAGAAUUUAAAGGAGUGAGAUUCUGGGGUUGGGACUUCCAGGGAGGACUCCUCCCCCACUACUUAUGUCCCCUGGGGAACAGAAAGCAUGUGCCUGAGUCCUGGGCAGAAGCCCGCCGGGCCCCUGAUGCCACCUAACCCUGCCUAUAGGAAGAGACUAAAGA